rnacentral:rRNA from 1 species
UGGGGAAUAUUGGACAAUGGGCGAAAGCCUGAUCCAGCCAUGCCGCGUGUGUGAAGAAGGUCUUCGGAUUGUAAAGCACUUUAAGUUGGGAGGAAGGGCAGUAAGCGAAUACCUUGCUGUUUUGACGUUACCGACAGAAUAAGCACCGGCUAACUCUGUGCCAGCAGCCGCGGUAAUACAGAGGUUGCAAGCGUUAAUCGGAAUUACUGGGGGUAAAGCGCGCGUAGGUGGUUCGUUAAGUUGAAUGUGAAAGCCCCGGGCUCAACCUGGGAACUGCAUCCAAAACUGGCGAGCUAGAGUAGGGCAGAGGGUGGUGGAAUUUCCUGUGUAGCGGUGAAAUGCGUAGAUAUAGGAAGGAACACCAGUGGAGAAGGCGACCACCUAGGUUCAUACUGACACUGAGGUGUGAAAGCGUGGGGAGCAAACAGG